AAUUAAAAUUUUAAAAAUUUUAUGUUAAAAACCGUCCGCCAUUGUUUGUGGCGUCCUGACGCUAGAUUUGACUUGAAAAUGCCGUUCCCUGAAGAAAAUAACAAUAGACUUGUUUCGUAUAGUUUGAUCUAUGGAGUGAUCAGUGAUAAUGUUGAGAAAUCAAGGAAAUGAGAACCCAAAAAAUCAUGAUUUCUAGCUUAUUGACCAACAUUGCAAUUGAAAGUGUAUCUACAGUUGACGAUCUCAAUAGCAAUAAGGUUGGUGUUGAACAGGAAGAAUGUCUAGCAGCUAACACCUCACACUUAACAGGGAAAAGGCUGGAUUUGUCUGAUAGAACAAUGAAAACCAAACUUAAAAGGAGUUAGAAAAAUUGAAGAAGAAGAAAUUAAAAAAGAAAAAUAACAAGAAGUGGUCCUGAAUUGCCCAACUUGCACAAGCCACCGAGGCAGCAUCAGUGUCAUCAACCUCUGAUCCCACA